GCAACUCGCCUGCAUGAAGCUGGAAUUGCUAGUAAUCGCGGAUCAGCAAGCCGCGGUGAAUACGUUCCCGGGCCUUGUACACACCGCCCGUCACACCAUGAGAGUCGGGAACACCCGAAGUCCGUAGUCUAACCGCAAGGGGGGCGCGGCCGAAGGUGGGUCCGGUAAUUGGGGUGAAGUCGUAACAAGGUACC
rnacentral:rRNA from 1 species